rnacentral:rRNA from 9 species
GACCUCAAAUCAGGUAGGACUACCCGCUGAACUUAAGCAUAUC